rnacentral:rRNA from 1 species
UACGAAGGUGGCAAGCGUUACUCGGAAUUACUAGGCGUAAAGCGCAGGUAGGUGGUUAGGUAAGUCUGUAAUGAAAUCUCCCGGCUUAACUGGGAGGGGUUUAUGGAUACUGCUUGACUUGAGUGUGGGAGAGGGUACUGGAAUUCCAGGUGUAGCGGUGAAAUGCGUAGAUAUCUGGAGGAACACCAAUGGCGAAAGCAGGUACCUGGCCCAAUACUGACACUGAGCUGCGAAAGCUAGGGGAGCAAACAGG